AACGAACGCUGGCGGCAUGCCUAACACAUGCAAGUCGAACGAGACCUUCGGGUCUAGUGGCGCACGGGUGCGUAACGCGUGGGAACCUGCCCUUAGGUUCGGAAUAACUCCCCGAAAGGGGUGCUAAUACCGGAUAAUGUCUUCGGACCAAAGAUUUAUCGCCUUUGGAUGGGCCCGCGUUGGAUUAGCUAGUUGGUAGGGUAAAAGCCUACCAAGGCGACGAUCCAUAGCUGGUCUGAGAGGAUGAUCAGCCACACUGGGACUGAGACACGGCCCAGACCCCGCGGGGGGGGGGCGGGGGGGAAUUUUGAACAAUGGGCGAAGGCUUAAUCCAGCAUUCCCGGGUGAGUGAGGAAAGCGUUAGGUUUGAAAACCUUUUUUCCCGGGAAUGAUAAGGACCGUCCGGGGAGAAAAGGCCCCGCCUAACCCCGUC
rnacentral:rRNA from 1 species